rnacentral:rRNA from 2 species
UGGUAUUGAUUGGUGCUUGCAUCAUGAUUUACAUUUGAGUGAGUGGCGAACUGGUGAGUAACACGUGGGAAACCUGCCCAGAAGCGGGGGAUAACACCUGGAAACAGAUGCUAAUACCGCAUAACAACUUGGACCGCAUGGUCCGAGCUUGAAAGAUGGCUUCGGCUAUCACUUUUGGAUGGUCCCGCGGCGUAUUAGCUAGAUGGUGGGGUAACGGCUCACCAUGGCAAUGAUACGUAGCCGACCUGAGAGGGUAAUCGGCCACAUUGGGACUGAGACACGGCCCAAACUCCUACGGGAGGCAGCAGUAGGGAAUCUUCCACAAUGGACGAAAGUCUGAUGGAGCAACGCCGCGUGAGUGAAGAAGGGUUUCGGCUCGUAAAACUCUGUUGUUAAAGAAGAACAUAUCUGAGAGUAACUGUUCAGGUAUUGACGGUAUUUAACCAGAAAGCCACGGCUAACUACGUGCCAGCAGCCGCGGUAAUACGUAGGUGGCAAGCGUUGUCCGGAUUUAUUGGGCGUAAAGCGAGCGCAGGCGGUUUUUUAAGUCUGAUGUGAAAGCCUUCGGCUCAACCGAAGAAGUGCAUCGGAAACUGGGAAACUUGAGUGCAGAAGAGGACAGUGGAACUCCAUGUGUAGCGGUGAAAUGCGUAGAUAUAUGGAAGAACACCAGUGGCGAAGGCGGCUGUCUGGUCUGUAACUGACGCUGAGGCUCGAAAGUAUGGGUAGCAAACAGGAUUAGAUACCCUGGUAGUCCAUACCGUAAACGAUGAAUGCUAAGUGUUGGAGGGUUUCCGCCCUUCAGUGCUGCAGCUAACGCAUUAAGCAUUCCGCCUGGGGAGUACGGCCGCAAGGCUGAAACUCAAAGGAAUUGACGGGGGCCCGCACAAGCGGUGGAGCAUGUGGUUUAAUUCGAAGCUACGCGAAGAACCUUACCAGGUCUUGACAUACUAUGCAAAUCUAAGAGAUUAGACGUUCCCUUCGGGGACAUGGAUACAGGUGGUGCAUGGUUGUCGUCAGCUCGUGUCGUGAGAUGUUGGGUUAAGUCCCGCAACGAGCGCAACCCUUAUUAUCAGUUGCCAGCAUUAAGUUGGGCACUCUGGUGAGACUGCCGGUGACAAACCGGAGGAAGGUGGGGAUGACGUCAAAUCAUCAUGCCCCUUAUGACCUGGGCUACACACGUGCUACAAUGGAUGGUACAACGAGUUGCGAACUCGCGAGAGUAAGCUAAUCUCUUAAAGCCAUUCUCAGUUCGGAUUGUAGGCUGCAACUCGCCUACAUGAAGUCGGAAUCGCUAGUAAUCGCGGAUCAGCAUGCCGCGGUGAAUACGUUCCCGGGCCUUGUACACACCGCCCGUCACACCAUGAGAGUUUGUAACACCCAAAGUCGGUGGG